rnacentral:lncRNA from 1 species
GGGUUCUAGUAGUGAGCUGCGUUAGGGGUUACAACCCAAUCCAAAGUUGAUCUAAGAUAAAUGAGACCGCAACAGCCGCAGCCUCUGAGGUACUGGUAAGGAAUUGAAAUUUGCAAUGCAUUGGGAACUAAAGGUGACGCUUGACUGAAAAUAGCGAUGGAUCAUGCUGCGACUUGCACAGCGGCCACCUCCCAUGGAAGAUUGUUGAUCCCCUCACCCACCAUGGCGAGCAUUGCAUCAUCCAGCUCGUCGGCUUUGUCAUUGUUGAUGUUGAAAAUCUCAGUCAACGUGGCGAUG